rnacentral:tRNA from 1 species
GGGUCGGAACCCAAACGGUGCGGGGGCUGGCUGUGAACCAGUCGUUAGCGGUUCGACUCCGCCCGACCCUCCA